rnacentral:lncRNA from 1 species
AAAAUGGAAGUGAACAAGAUUUUUGCAGAGAUUUUCCUUGGUCAAUUGAGCAACCAGCCACAUUAGCUGCUGUAGAUAUGGACUUUACUGUCAGAGGAAAAUUGGAAGUGAACAAAAUUUUUGCAGAGAUUUUCCUUGGUCAAGAGUGCAACCAGCCACAUU